GGUAAUUCAAAACUAGCCAUGUAAACUGUAAGAAAAUCUUGGAAAAUUGCUACUUAAGUUAGGAACGGGUACCGGGCAGUGUAUAGGUGAAGAAUUCCAUAAAAACUCACAGGAGUUAAGGGGGAUGUGCACCUCAGUGUUAGGGUUAGGACGCUGUACCCAGGAAUUAGGAAUGAGUAAUAAAUCUGUAUGGGAGCCAAAGAAAACAAAUAAAUAAC
rnacentral:lncRNA from 1 species